rnacentral:rRNA from 1 species
UGGGGAAUUUUGGACAACGGGCGAAAGCCUGAUCCAGCAAUGCCGCGUGUGUGAAGAAGGCCUUCGGGUUGUAAAGCACUUUUGUCCGGAAAGAAAUCCUUGGCUCUAAUACAGUCGGGGGAUGACGGUACCGGAAGAAUAAGCACCGGCUAACUACGUGCCAGCAGCCGCGGUAAUACGUAGGGUGCAAGCGUUAAUCGGAAUUACUGGGCGUAAAGCGUGCGCAGGCGGUUUGCUAAGACCGAUGUGAAAUCCCCGGGCUCAACCUGGGAACUGCAUUGGUGACUGGCAGGCUAGAGUAUGGCAGAGGGGGGUAGAAUUCCACGUGUAGCAGUGAAAUGCGUAGAGAUGUGGAGGAAUACCGAUGGCGAAGGCAGCCCCCUGGGCCAAUACUGACGCUCAUGCACGAAAGCGUGGGGAGCAAACAGGAUUAGAUACCCUGGUAGUCCACGCCCUAAACGAUGUCAACUAGUUGUUGGGGAUUCAUUUCCUUAGUAACGUAGCUAACGCGUGAAGUUGACCGCCUGGGGAGUACGGUCGCAAGAUU